UUCAAAACCAAGAGCAAACAGUUAUAGAAUCUACGGAUAUCUUCAAGAGCUUUUUUUUCCCUCAAGUGGUUAAGAACAACUAUUGAAAGCUCCCCAGAAACUGAACCUGCUGUCAGGCACUGAAGGAGCAACACAAAGAAGAUUGAGAUUGAAAACAACACCUAUCAUUGGACAUAUCUUGCUGUGAAUCUAAGGAGAAAGAAGGCUACUGUGGAAUGGAACGAACAUCAUUAACAGACAUCUAUCGAGACCUCUGAAGUGCUGGAUGGAGUUCAAGCUUCCAGAGAUACAGGAGUAAGAAAGGCAAAACUUCUGGCCUUCUGAAACAUUCUGUUGAGAGCAGAUGGAAAAUCAGUCCAUGAACUAAUGAGCAAGAUCACUGCAGAUGGUGAUACGUGGUAUAAAGAAAGAAAGAAAAAAAAAUGAGACAAGGAAGCAGAGAAUGUUGCAACCCUGGGAUACUGGCACUGGAAGAAACUCUAGAAAUUACCUGGACGUAGUCCUUCAUUUUAUGGAAAUGGAGGCUCAGAGAAAUAAACUGAAUUGGUCAAAGACACACAGACAAUUUUUGGAAGAGCUGGUCCUAGAACUUGGGUUACUUCUAUGAUGAUAUGAUUUCUAGUUUUCCUAAGUUUCUCCUUGGGUAGGUGUACCUGGGUUUUCAGAGACAUGAUGAAUGAAAUCAUUAAAAAAAUACAGCAUUUCUACUCCUUGUAAUCUCAGGGAAUGAUUAUCCCAUCUAUGAAUAAUUGUCCCAUCUUUAUCCAUUUCUUCUACUUAGCCCUUUGCCCUCUUGUGCUUUGCUUUUUGCUUUGGGGGCAAAAAGCCCCCACCUAUGAAUGAUUGUCCCACAUCUAUGAAUGAUUGUCCCAUAUUUGUCCAUUUCUUCAACUUAGCUCUUUGGCUGUUGUGCUUUGCUUUUUGCUUUGGGGGCUUUUGUUUAUUUGGUUUUGGAUUUUUGAUAUUUUGUUUGAUCACACCAUUAUUCAAACCCAAAGACACGUUCAGGGAGUAGGAAAGAAAACUCAACCCACACAGUACUGGGUCCAUCACAGAGGUGUAUUAAAUAUUUAUGGACUUCAACCAAACAAUAUCUUUACUGGUCAGUACUUAAGAGCAAGAUGAGGAAUAAGGUUGAAAUUAUUUCCUAAGAAGAGGGGGUUUAUGUUUUAGUUAUCCAUUCUGUUCACACAUGUGAGGAAGACGGGAUACUGUAGUAGUUAAAAGGGCAGCUUGCUUCAAAGCUAGCCAAAGCUGAGUUUGAAUUCCUGCUCCAUUGUGAGUACCAGUGGAAGUCGCUAGGAGUUUUAAGAAAUGACCUGUUUCCAGACAGCAACUGGAAGCUGUGUAGGGAAAGGAUCAGAGAAACAGACUGAAGACAAAGAAACAGGCAGAGACCCUGGCAAAAGGCAGGUUGAGGGAUGACAAUCAAGCAUAUUGUUCUUUCUUGUUAGCAAGAACCACCAAAAAUUGGCGAUAAUCGCCACGCCAAAUUAUUUCCACCUGGUGAAGGUUGCAAUUGUAAAUUAGUUCAAACAUUGUGGAAGACAGUGUGGUGAUUCCUCAAGGAUCUGAAACCAGAGAUCCCAUUUGACCCAGCAAUCCCAUUACUGGGUAUAUACCCAAAGGAUUAUAAAUCAUUCUACUAUAAAGACACAUGCACAUGUAUGUUUAUUGCAGCACUAUUCACAAUAGCAAAGAUUUGGAACCAACCCAAAUGCCCAUCAAUGAUAGACUGGAUAAACAAAUGUGGCACAUAUACACCAUGGAAUACUAUGCAGCCAUAAAAAGAAUGAGUUCAUGUCCUUUGCAGGGACAUGGAUGAAGCUGGAAAUCAUCAUUCUCAGCAAACUAACACAAGAACAGAAAACCAAACACUGCAUGUUCUCAUUCAUAAGUGGGAGUUGAACAAUGGGAACACAUGGACACAGGGAGGGAAACAUUACACACCGGGGCC
rnacentral:lncRNA from 10 species